AGAUCCCACAGCUAUGCCUGAAUAAGAGCUAAGUGGAUGUAUGAAAGUCCUACACACGUGUAAAAUGUGCCUCCAGGAAGACUUGUAUUAAAUAGUUCACUACCAUAAGAAAAUCACCCAGGAGCACCAAGAGACAAGUACAAGAAUUUUUAUGGAAGCAUUGUUUAGGAAGUAAUAUGUUCAUCAGUAGGAGAAUAGAUUUCCUCAACAAGAUUUGUGAAUGAG